rnacentral:rRNA from 1 species
AUCUGCUACUUGGGGAGUACGUCCGCAAGGAUGAAACUAAAGGAAUUGCGGGGAGCACCGCAACGGGAGGAGCGUGCGUUUAAUUGGAUUCACACCGGAAACUCACCAGCGGCGACUGUUACAUGAAAGUCAGGCCGAUGACCUUACUAGAUUUUCAGAGAGGUGGUGCAUGGCCGUCGUCAGUUCGUACCGUAAGGCGUUCUCUUAAGUGAGAUAACGAACGAGACCCUCACCAAUAGUUGCUACCCAGUCCUCCGGGGCUGGGGCACACUAUUGGGACCGCUGGCGCUAAGUCAGAGGAAGGAGAGGUCAACGGUAGGUCAGUAUGCCCCGAAUCUGCUGGGCUACACGCGCGCUACAAAGGGCGGGACAAUGGGCUCCGACACCGAAAGGUGAAGGUAAUCCCGAAACCCGUCCGUAGUUCGGAUUGAGGGUUGUAACUCACCCUCAUGAAGCUGGAUUCCGUAGUAAUCGCGAAUCAACAACUCGCGGUGAAUAUGCCCCUGCUCCUUGCACACACCGCCCGUCAAACCACCUGAGUUGGGUUUCAGUGAAGCUGCCUCUUUCUGGGGUUGUCGAACUGAGAUUUAGCAAGGAGGGUU